AGAAUCCCUGUGAGUCUGACGGCCACGGCCUCACCCAGGCCGUUCUUCCCUGCAGCAUCCCCACGCCCCCUGCGGGCAGGGACGGAGGGCUGACUCCACUCCCGAGUGCCAGGAGGCUACACGGGCUGGUCUUGGGAUUGGUGCCCAUCCUGAGGGUGAAGAGAGGCCCCUGGACAGAGGACUGGAACCUUGCUCCCAGCAGGCUCAGAUGCCAGUGGGGCCCAGCCAAGGUCCCCAUGCAGAGGUGCAGAGGGCGAGGGGCCUGUUCAGUGGCUGUCCACAGCAAUAGGAGUGCUGGAGCUCCGGGUGCUGGCCACCAACUUCAGAGACUAUGCCAUCAUCUUCACUCAGCUGGAGUUCGGGGACGAGCCCUUCAACACCGUGGAGCUGUACAGUCGGAUGGAGACAGCCAGCCAGGAGGCCAUGGGGCUCUUCACCAAGUGGAGCAGGAGCCUGGGCUUCCUGUCACAGCAGCAGGCCCAGCUGCAGAAGGAUCUCACCUGUGCUCACAAGAUCCUUCUGUGAGUGCUGCGCCCCCAGUAGGGAUGGCGCCCGCAGGGUCCUGUGACCUCGGCCAGUGUCCACCCACCUCGCUCAG
rnacentral:sRNA from 1 species